GGACACUUGGCUCCUGCAAUCCAUCAAUGGUCUGUCCAGUGGGGGAAGGUUGGGGGUGUUUCCAGACAAUAUAAUACAGGUCCAGCAUCACUUUACUGAAGAGUCCCAGCUGACAAUACAAAUGAGAGAAAGAGCUGAGUAUAUGUACCUAAUUUCUGUGGG